rnacentral:rRNA from 1 species
UUGCUUGCAAUCCUGAGUAGAGUGGCGCACGGGUGAGUAACACGUAGAUAAUCUACCUUCAAGCCCGGGAUAACUAUUCGAAAGGAUGGCUAAUACCGGAUGAAGUGUUUUGACCCAAGUUGAAACAUGAAAGAUUGCCUAUCCUUGGAAGCAAUUGUUUGGAGAUGAGUUUGCGGACCAUUAGCUUGUUGGUGGGGUAAAGGCCUACCAAGGCAACGAUGGUUAGCUGGUCUGAGAGGAUGAUCAGCCACACUGGAACUGGUACACGGUCCAGACUCCUACGGGAGGCAGCAGUGAGGAAUUUUGCGCAAUGGGGGCAACCCUGACGCAGCAACGCCGCGUGAGUGAAGAAGGCCUUUGGGUCGUAAAGCUCUGUCGACAGGGAAGAAAUUACAAUCAUCCAAUAGGUGUUUGUAUUGACGGUACCUGUAGAGGAAGCACCGGCUAACUCCGUGCCAGCAGCCGCGGUAAUACGGGGGGUGCAAGCGUUAUUCGGAAUUAUUGGGCGUAAAGGGCGCGUAGGCGGUUUUGUCGGUCAGAUGUGAAAGCCCGGGGCUCAACCCUGGAAGUGCAUUUGAAACAGCAAGACUUGAGUACGGGAGAGGAAAGCGGAAUUCCUGGUGUAGAGGUGAAAUUCGUAGAUAUCAGGAGGAACACCGAUGGCGAAGGCAGCUUUCUGGACCGAUACUGACGCUGAGGCGCGAAGGUGUGGGUAGCGAACGGGAUUAGAUACCCCGGUAGUCCACACAGUAAACGAUGUUCACUAGGUGUAUCGGGUAUUAAAAUCUGAUGUGCCC